rnacentral:rRNA from 1 species
AACGUAGGUCACGAGCGUUGUCCGGAAUUACUGGGUGUAAAGGGAGCGCAGGCGGGAGAACAAGUUGGAAGUGAAAUCCAUGGGCUCAACCCAUGAACUGCUUUCAAAACUGUUUUUCUUGAGUAGUGCAGAGGUAGGCGGAAUUCCCGGUGUAGCGGUGGAAUGCGUAGAUAUCGGGAGGAACACCAGUGGCGAAGGCGGCCUACUGGGCACCAACUGACGCUGAGGCUCGAAAGUGUGGGUAGCAAACAGG